GACGAACGCUGGCGGCGUGCUUAACACAUGCAAGUCGAACGAUGAACCCGGAGCUUGCUCUGGGGGAUUAGUGGCGAACGGGUGAGUAACACGUGAGUAACCUGCCCUGGACUCUGGGAUAAGCGUUGGAAACGACGUCUAAUACCGGAUAGGACCUUGGAUCGCAUGAUCUGGGGUGGAAAGUUUUUUCGGUCUGGGAUGGACUCGCGGCCUAUCAGCUUGUUGGUGAGGUAAUGGCUCACCAAGGCGUCGACGGGUAGCCGGCCUGAGAGGGUGACCGGCCACACUGGGACUGAGACACGGCCCAGACUCCUACGGGAGGCAGCAGUGGGGAAUAUUGCACAAUGGGCGAAAGCCUGAUGCAGCAACGACGCGUGCGGGAUGACGGCCGUCGGGUUGUAAACCGCUUUUAGUAGGGAAGAAGGGCUUCGGCUUGACGGUACCUGCAGAAAAAGGACCGGCUAACUACGUG
rnacentral:rRNA from 1 species